rnacentral:rRNA from 1 species
CUUCCGUAGGGGGGACCUGCGGAAGGAUCAUUACUGAAGGCCCCUAACCGGGCUUUUCCGUAUGGUCGCUCUCUGGCUGUGCGCCGCGAGGCUUGCACGCUCGAGUCGACCGUCCAUCGACACCUGUGCACUCUGCGGGUCACGUUUGUGGCCCUGCUUUUUCAUUGUCUACUUAGUUUUGGAUGUCAUUGCUUUCGUAAUUGAAAAUACAACUUUCAGCAACGGAUCUCUUGGCUCUCGCAUCGAUGAAGAACGCAGCGAAUUGCGAUAUGUAAUGUGAAUUGCAGAAUUCAGUGAAUCAUCGAAUCUUUGAACGCACCUUGCGCCCUAUGGUAUUCCACAGGGCACGCCUGUUUGAGUGUCACGUUAAUCUAUCACCCUUGGACUGUUUACGCGGUUCAUGUCGGUGGAUUUGGGUGCUGCCGUCGUUGGCUCGCCUUGAAAUGCAUUAGCCUUUGGCUCCCGUGCGGGGUCGUCGCGGUGUGAUAGUUCUUUGCAUCGUUGGCCUUGCGCUGGCUAUGGCUCAUAGUCGUCCUUGACCGGACAAUUAUUCGAACCUGACCUCAAAUCAGGUGGAAUCCCAGUU